UUUUCGUGCUGCAAAAAAAGGUAUCAACAUGAAACCAAUGCAUAAUCCAAAUACAUCAAAAGUAAACUUAGUAAGUUGGUGGGUGAGGAAAAAUGUAGAGGUUUUCCAUUCUCAACCACAGUGGUAUUGCAGAUCCAACCCGUUUGCGUCACAUACCCGGUACCGCUUAGGAUUCGGGCGAUUGGGUCCGUAUUUAAACUCCCACUAAGGAGUGGUCACUUCCAUACUCUUAAAUAGCCUGGAGGAUGGCGGGAACUCGACCUUUCAACCUUUCGUGGUUUCUGUCGUCGACCCCUGCGUGAUAUAGGUCGUGGGAUCCAUUUGCCGUCUUUGGAACCCUGAAAUCGAUUGCCUUCGGAAGCCGCGGCUUCCCUAUCUCUUGCCGCCGGAUGCUCCUAUCUGCUUCCUCUCUGAUUACGCCUUCUUGUCAAUCGGUGACGAACAUAGAAGGAUUCCUUCUCCUUUAAUUUCUGUAGAAUUGAUGGUAGCUUGGAUCUUAGUGCAAUCUGAACCGGGAAAUCAUGAUUAACUUGUACGGACUUGGGAUUUGCUCCAUAUCUGUUCUUAUAAAGGGGCUCGUAUUUGCUUGCCGCUUGAUCCUCCGAUCUACGUCCUUCGUGUUUGUUAAAAAUUCACGUUCGCUGUGUGCAAGAAAAUCCAUAAUCUGCCGCUCGAAGGCUUCAUUUUGUUUGCUUACUCAGAGUUUAUCAUGCACUGGCUCUUAGUGCGGUGUCCAGGGCGUGAUUCCUUUGAUUCCUUGUUGGUAAUGGUUCCUUCCGUUACGAUGGAAAGGAUUUCUAUCGUCGGUCUUUCCUGAUGCUUUUAUUUAUCGUUUUCUUUGCACGACUGGAUGUUGGAUCAUGGUGUUGAGCUGAGACCCUAAAUUGAAAGAGGGAUUGUACAGGGAUGUGUGACGCGCGGUCGGCCAUUUUAAGAUAAAUGGUAGUAAUCAGGAGGUAUCCUUUUUUUGGUUGCAAAAUGAUCUAGCUGGUAUUUGGGCUCGUUCUCUUGCUACACGUUACAGCUCCUAGUGACAGGUUUUAGGUGAGGGGAGUAAGCAGCAACUCCUACGCAGAGAACAUCACUUUCCGCAAAUGGCACCUAGAAACACUUUUCUAUUAAAACUUCAUAAAUAGAUUGUCUUGGAAACUUCCAGGUGUUAGAGUUGGAAAGCUAAAUUCAGCUAUUUAUUGGUUUGUCAAACUUUUGGUAUCUUGACAUUUGGAAAUGAUGCUACAGAAGUAAAAGAAUGACAGCAAUUGAAAGAAGACUUAUAGCAGGAGCAGCAGGAGUCUACUGGAAAAACCGGCCUAUCUUAGAAGAAAAGCCUUCAAGAACAACUUCUGCAGAUCCACGGACUGGGAAAUCCGUCGAAAUUCAACUGUUUCUGCUGUAACAUUAGUUAUCAUUUCAUCAAACUAUUCAGUGUAAUCUAACAGCAAGUCAGGAUAUGAACGGCAACUUUGUGUUUGUGUAUGUGCAUAAGUGCUUAUUCUUUCCAUUAUUUAAGUGUUUUCCAGCUAUUAUUGAAGUUUCUUUCUCUCUAUCCUUAGUUUUAGUUUCAAUUUGUCAAUUAUUAUAUAGAUGUAGGCUUUCAUGCCUUUAGUUGAUUGUUCUUUCACAAUUUUAAUUGCCUGUAUGGUUGUUGGUGCAACUGUCAGUUGUAAGAUAAAGUUAUGGGUCUUCUGAGUAAAUAAUCUGAAGGUAACGGCUGUUAGUAUUGACUUGGAUUGGUAGGAUUGGCUGUUAAUGUUGCCAAAAGAUUUCCCUAAGGAAAUUAUUGAUAUGUUGUACAAUCAGCAAAAAUAAGAUCUCAUAUUUACCCUUAACAAUGUCAUUGAUUUACUACAUAUGGACCAAAAAGGCAUAGCUCUCAAACCUGGUCAACUUGAUAAUCACCUGAGUUGACUCGGGAUUGCCAAGGGACUUGGUCACGAAUCAGGUACAGAACUAAUGUGACCAAAUCCUAGAAGACAGUUUUUGAUUGGAUGCAUUGACUUAGGAAUACCAGAUUCUAGACUGUUUCAUUCAACACAGAAUCUAACUAUUACCCAAUGUCAGUAAGAAAUUAUACUAGUUGUUUAUUGCAAAAAUAAUCUAAUGCAUGUUUUUUAUUAGUUCUUACCUUUUUGUAGUUGUCUUCAUAAAUUAUGGGUGUUUAAUUGUAUUUACUUGAUGGUUACUUACCUUUUUCAUUAAUUUUGUAGUAAAACUGCAUAAAAUUUAUGACCUGACCUGGAAGAGUCGACGAAUCAACUGGCUUUUCCAUUACUCAAUAGUCAGCUGAUUUGAGUAUGAUUCAUGGGUUUGCGAACUAUGCAAUAAAGAGAAAAAAAGAGAAGAAAAAGCCUUUGCCAUUUGGUGGACUUUUCUCCAUGUUGCUGCUGAUUGGUUUAUCUUGUAAUUUUAUGGUGUAGUACUCCUUAAGAUCCUGCUAUCUGCUUUUUUUGUCAUUGAUCCAUAAGGAAAAUGCUAUAAGUUGUUUUGCAAGAACCUUUGCGCUUCUAGUUAAAUACUUAUAUGCAUCACCUACUAUCUUGACAACAUUGAAAACGUCAUAUUGAAGAAAAUAGUAUGGGAUGGAGUUCCACACUUUUCCCUGUAAGGAUUGACUUACUUUGGGACCUGUAUGACUAUGACCAAUGAUGACUAAGCACCAUGGCCUUCAUGUAGGUUACAAUAUUGACUAGUUUGUAUGUCUAGUACUUGACAGAGAACUAUUGAAAUUUCUGCUUCUGUCAGUGAUGAUGUUGAGUUAGGCUUCAUGGCUUGCUGUGUUAUGUGCUCAUAUGGUUUCCCAUCAGAGUUGUAAUCAAAAGGUGCAGAGUCUUCAACCUAAAUGAACCAAUGGUUAUAUCUUUUUCAUAUUGAUGUUUGAUGCCAUGUGACAUGGGUGUGAGUGCAGGUGCAGAUGUGGGUGCUGGCAAAUUUCAGAAAAACAUGGGUUCGGGUGCGGGUGCAGUGAGGGUGAAGCUUUCUGGUUAGUGUUGUGCUGCAAUUUUCUGAUUCACAUCUUACUACUGUGGGGAAACUUCAACUUCUAGUACAGCUAAAAUAAAUUGCGUUCACACUCGGCUGCUGCGAAUUCAUGGAAAAUGCCACUUUGCCUUUCUUGCGGUACGACGUGGCUUCAAGGAGUUUGCAAUUGUGGGAGUUUCAUAUUUGUCGUAACAUGCCGCACUAAAGUUCAUCACUCGUUCCUCAUUUUCUUCCCAGACAAACCCGGGCCUGGAGUCCAACCGUCCAACCAGGUGAACCGAGGUCGGGUUAGCUGCAAAGCCUAGCUUCUGAUCAGCUAAUUUUGUUCGAAAACGGAAAAAGUCUUGCCCUAGAUUAAAUUUCAGAAAAUGGAAAACAAGAAGGAUUGAGUCUCGGCGCCACCAGGAAGCUGGCUUGAAUCAUGGGAGCAGGUGUCUUGGCGAAUGAUUGAACUUCUUUUUAGGUUUGGAGGAAGAUAAUAAGAAGAUUGUAUGUAAA